GACGAACGCUGGCGGCGUGCUUAACACAUGCAAGUCGAACGGUAAGGCCCUUCGGGGUACACGAGUGGCGAACGGGUGAGUAACACGUGGGUGAUCUGCCCUGCACUUCGGGAUAAGCCUGGGAAACUGGGUCUAAUACCGGAUAGGACCACUGCCUGCAUGGGGGGUGGUGGAAAGCUUUUGCGGUGUGGGAUGGGCCCGCGGCCUAUCAGCUUGUUGGUGGGGGGAUGGCCUACCAAGGCGACGACGGGUAGCCGGCCUGAGAGGGUGACCGGCCACAAUGGGACUGAGAUACGGCCCAGACUCCUACGGGAGGCAGCAGUGGGGAAUAUUGCACAAUGGGCGCAAGCCUGAUGCAGCGACGCCGCGUGAGGGAUGACGGCCUUCGGGUUGUAAACCUCUUUCAGCACCGACGAAGCGCAAGUGACGGUAGGUGCAGAAGAAGGACCGGCCAACUACGUGCCAGCCGCCGCGGUAA
rnacentral:rRNA from 1 species